GGCGAGUGAAGCGGCAACAGCUCAAAUUUGAAAUCUGGCUCUCUUUGGGGGUCCGAGUUGUAAUUUGCAGAGGAUGCUUUGGCAUUGGCGGCGGUCUAAGUUCCUUGGAACAGGACAUCGCAGAGGGUGAGAAUCCCGUACGUGGGCGCCUGCCUUUGCCGUGUAAAGCUCCUUCGACGAGUCGAGUUGUUUGGGAAUGCAGCUCUAAAUGGGAGGUAAAUUUCUUCUAAAGCUAAAUACCGGCCAGAGACCGAUAGCGCACAAGUAGAGUGAUCGAAAGAUGAAAAGUACUUUGGAAAGAGAGUCAAAAAGCACGUGAAAUUGUUGAAAGGGAAGCGCUUGCAGCCAGACUUGCCCGCAGUUGCUCACCUAGGCUUUGGCCUGGGGCACUCUUCUGCGGGCAGGCCAGCAUCAGUUUGGGCGGUUGGAUAAAGGCCUCUGUCACGUAUCUUCCUUCGGGAUGACCUUAUAGGGGAGGCGUAAUGCAACCAGCCCGGACUGAGGUCCGCGCAUCUGCUAGGAUGCUGGCGUAAUGGCUGUAAGCGGCCCGUCUUGAAACACGGACCAAGGAGUCUAACAUCUAUGCGAGUGUUUGGGUGUCAAGCCCGGGCGCGCAAUGAAAGUGAACGGAGGUGGGAACCCUUUGGGUGCACCAUCGACCGAUCCUGAUGUCUUCGGAUGGAUUUGAGUAAGAGCAUAGCUGUUGGGACCCGAAAGAUGGUGAACUAUGCUUGAAUAGGGUGAAGCCAGAGGAAACUCUGGUGGAGGCUCGCAGCGGUUCUGACGUGCAAAUCGAUCGUC
rnacentral:rRNA from 1 species